GGGGGGGUGGGUAGGGGGAAGGGGGAGAGGGGUGGGGAGCAUAGAUGGUUUCAAUCAUCGGAAAAACAAUAAAAACAUUUCUUUUUUUUACCACUUUCAUAGUUCAAUGCAUUAUGAAAAAGUAUGGAUAAACUCAGAUCGCAACAGAACGGGAAAUUCAACCCAACAGUUGUUAAGCUCAGUAUUUGAGGCACUGAACUUGGAUAAGUA
rnacentral:misc_RNA from 1 species